GACAAAUAUAAACAAUGAGAAGAAAAGUGAAAGGAAAAAGGCCAUGACAGGAAAUUUUUGGAAAAUAGACGAUUUCCUGGGCUUUUUCCUUUCUCUUGGAUUUGAACAUUGAAGCUGGUUGGAUGUGUGGAAUCGAGUGAAAUCGAGUGUUUUUUUGUUGUUGUGAAACUAAAGCCAGGCAUAUGCCUUGUAGUAUGACCUUUUAAAAAAGAAGAAAGAGAUGCUAAUGCUUGUGUUUUUAUUGAUGGUUAAUUGUGUGCCAAACAAACAUUGAAACUUGAAUUUGUAACCUAAAUAUGAAAAAGAUACACCUGAAAAAAAGACUUUAAUCUUAAGAGCCAAAUGAACUUACUUGCUAAAUAACCUGCUAAAUAAAAUAAACUACCCAAACACUUACAAGCUAAAUAAACCAUAAACUUACAAGCUAAAUAAGCAAAAACUUACAAGCGCCAACCUCAAAUGUGCCCAUUGUCGAUAGAUCGUGUUACACGAUAUGUUCGUGCUUUCGCUUACACUGGUUUGGAUUAUUUUGGGCCGGAUGGCCUUGUUUACCUGCUUAACCGUUCGUGCUAUCCAUCUGAAGAUAGCCAAUGAUUUAUCUAGUGAUGCUUGUCUGUUAUGCAUUAGGAACUUCAUAAACCGACGUGGAACUUCAUAAAGCGCCACUAAUUUUCAUUGGGUAUCCAAUGGAAGUUCAACACGCCGACGAAUCCAAGCGAGGGUGGUGCAUGGGAGAGGCUCGUGCAGUCGGUCAAGAAGGUCCUUCAUAUGAUACUGCGCGAAUAUUCACCCAGACUUGAAACCCUGCAAAGUUUUUUAAUUGAAGCUGAGAAUAUGGUUAAUUCCAGACCAUUGACGCAUUUGGCUGUUACACCAGAAGAUCCCCACCCAUUGACGUCAAAUCACUUUUGAAUGGGCUGUGCAAAUUCAACCCAAACACCAGCGCCAUAUGAACCUCGUCUAAUGUGCCCUCUUAAGCAAUGGCGUAUUGUGCAAAUUUGAAAAAUGGUAUGUGGCAUCAAUGGGUUCGGGAAUAUUUGCCGGAGCUAACUCAACGCACAAAAUGGUGUCUUCCUUCUCAUCCUGUCAACAUUGGAAGCCUUGUUUUUAUAUGCGACUCAGACAUUCCCCGCACUCAGUGGAAGCGUGGAAAAGUUGUUGAAUUGCUUACUGGCAAAGAUGCCGUGGCCCGCUCUGCAAGAAUCAGUACCCAUUCCGGUUUUUGUAGAAGGUCAAUAUCAAACUUGCCGUUUUAGAUGUGGAUGCAGAAGAUUUGAGUGGUGAAGCCUCCCCAUCCGGGUCAUUUCACGGAGGCGAGGAUGUCUAUGAUGGUCACUCUAAAGUGAGUGGCGAAGAUGGUUACCCCUAAAAUGGGUGGCGAAGAUGGUCAACCCUAAAGUGGGCAACGCAAAAAGGGUUGAAUGUGGUAUGAACCGCAUCCAUUGAACACUAAAUGUUUUUGCAGUCUGAUCAUAAACAGUAAAAUUGAUAAUGUAUAUGUAAAUUUGUAUAAAAGCCCUUCAGGCCUUGAUUCUUACCUUUUUGCUUGGGUAACUUAACUAAACACGUAAGGUUAACCUUUAUAAUUUGUUAAAUUUUUAUAAAUUUUUACCUUUAUUUUAUUAGCGAAUAAACAUAACACAAUCUUUUGUCAUCAAUCAUUUAAACAA